ACCAGCUGUUACCAGCUUGUGGUCUGCUGGUGUCAGGACUCGGAAGCUCUGCAAGGCUGGGCCUGGUCAGUACUGGGGUGGGCGAUCUCUCAGGAAAGCCAGGGUACUGCUGGCA
rnacentral:rRNA from 1 species